rnacentral:rRNA from 1 species
AGCGAACGUUUGCGGCGGGCCUAACACAUGCAAGUCGAACGCACUAGCAAUAGUGAGUGGCGCACGGGUGCGUAACACGUGGGUAAUCAACCCUUCAGCCUGGGAUAACGACUCGAAAGGGUCGCUAAUACCGGAUACGGCGCGAGAGGCUUCGGCUUCUCACGAGAAAGCCACGCAAGGGGCACUGAAGGAUGAGCCUGCGGCCCAUCAGCUAGUUGGUGAGGUAAGAGCUCACCAAGGCUAAGACGGGUAGCUGGUCUGAGAGGAUGAUCAGCCACACUGGAACUGAGACACGGUCCAGACUCCUACGGGAGGCAGCAGUGGGGAAUAUUGCGCAAUGGGCGAAAGCCUGACGCAGCCACGCCGCGUGAGCGAUGAAGGCCU